AUACCAUCUUAUUGCCACUGCGUAAAUAUUUAUAAAAAUAUUUACGACUCGGUUUAUAGAAACAAGGUCCCGAUACGUCAUUUUCUAAACCCACUUGACCUUAGAGUCAUACCACUUGAACUUAAUAAAUCGCUUAUAAAACAAAAAUCACAAUAUCAAAAACAUUUUUAAAAUCACAAUUAACUCGUAAAUAUUAAAUAUAAUAUUUACCAACCUACUCGAUCGGAUUUGGUGGCCCCGAAACCACUGUUCCGAUCAACCCUAAAAAUAGGCUAUUACAACUCUCCCCCCUUAGGGAUUUUCGUCCCCGAAAAUCUUGCCAGAGAAUAAAUUAGUGAUUUUCUUUCACCAACCUCAACAAUUUCUCACCUAGCCUCAGAUUUCUCAACUUUUCAAUCUCAUAAGCUAAGAUUAUGAUCUGCUCUUUGCUAUACAUCAUAACAAGGUGAGUUUCUACUUCUGUAAGAGAUACUAUAGAUAAAGGAUCUUAUUUGUAUCAUCACAUCAUAUAUAUAAAAAGCACAUUAUGGGUCUUCUCAAGUUUUGAUAAUAAUAUCAUUCAAUCCGAUGAACUGCGAACUCAACUUCUCUUUAUAGCUAAAUCUAGAAAUUCUAUUCCCACUAUAAUACCUUUACAAAUACUCAAUUUUCUAAUUGAAAAUUCAAUGCUUUUACGCAUCAAGCCCGCAUAUAUUUUCUACAAAUCUGAAACUGUUUUUAGACGGUCAUGAAUUACUUUCAUUUCCCCUCAGUCUUUCCAAUCACAUCGACCCCGAAAUUCUUUUUAUAAAAAUUCAAUUCAAUACAACGAAGUUCAGUAAUUGCAACCAUACCACACUCAUACAAUGCUAUCUUAACAUUCAUCUCAUAACUAUUAUUAUUAUAUGCAAACUUAACAAACAAUAAAUGUCUUUCUCGGUUGCUUUCAAGUUCUAGAACACAGUGUUACAAAGUAAUUCCAUACCCAAAGCUCAUAGUAGUUUAUUUUAGUAACACGAUAUAAUCCUCGUGUCUCCAUUUGAACAAUGAAAACUAGCACUCUUUUCGUACUCCUCGUAUGGACAGAUAAUUACCACUGUGCUAGAUGUCACAAUUGUUGUAAAAUCUCUGGAUUUCUCAAUACACGAACUCUAUCUCGACAUAACGAACAAUUGUCGAUUCCAAUCUGAAAUUCUAAAUUAGAAAUCAAUUUACGUUGUACCCUUUUUAACUUGUAAUUCACUGACACACCUCUUAACCUCACAAAUUUGCUAAUUAAACAUCAAUUUAGUUUCUAGCUCAGCCAAUAACUACUCAUCAUUUGAUAAGAUUAAUCACAUGAUUAUCGGCCGUAAAACACAUAAAGAUUCUCGUUCAGAACCCCAAAGACUAUAAUCAUUUGCCCAGAUUGAAAAUCAAUCGCUGACUCAUAAUCUUUCAACAGUUUAAACCAUCUUUAAUUCUUGUGUCGAAUAACUCUUUACCUGAGAACUGACACUUCAAUUAACAAUUUAUUCAACUGUUUACCACUUUAUUGAUAAUUAUCACAUCAUUCAGACUUCCCAAUCGCGAUCUAUAAGAACAUUUCUCAAUAAAAUCGUUCUGAUGGAUAUAAUUCUGUAUCAUAUCUUCUAGAAUAUGAAUCCUGCAUUCAGAAUAUUCAUCUAUUUAUCCGUGAACAUUCAAACUUUAUUUCCACCCUGUGGAUAGAUUCAGAUACAAGUAACUUGAUUAAUCCUUCAAGCAAUUAAUCUAAUCAAACUAGACAACUGAAUCGAUCUCGACUGUCAAGUAAUAACUUUUCAAUUAUUAAUCAACGAAGAUUUGAACCAUACUGAAGCCACAACCAUCAGAUAAUUUAAAAUCAUAGUGCCAUAAUAAGGCUGACAUCUCAACCGUAUAGAUAUAUAAUGUCCCAAUUAUCAAUAAUGCAUUUUGAACAUAAGAGAAAUUGAAAUAUAGUUACAGUCAUUCAAUAGAUAUUUUUCACAGAUAACCAUAUAGAAUCAUAAGAAAGCAGAGAUACUGUAAUUCUCGAAUAUAUAACUAUACUAAUCUUUUUUUUAAGAAAGCACCCAUAUCAGAUGACAGAUAUCUCAAUGAUGUCUCAGAGGAAAUCCAGAAGUAAAGCAUCACUCAUAUGCACUGGAAUCAACAGUAACAGAAACAAUAUAAUCUUAAUGUAUACUAAGCAGAUCAACAACCAGUAGGAGCAGAAUACCAACAUCACACAGAUUUAAUCGUCGAUCUUUUCUUUUAAUAAAAUGAAAUAGAAUACGAGAGAAAGAUAUAAUAAUGCUGAUUUGUAACCCUAAAGCCCAACAAUGCUUUCAUAUAUCAAUAUAUAUAGAUAAUGUUCUCAUAUGAUAAGAAUUUCAUCUGAAAAUAUACAGCUUCACAUACCUCUGAGGAUAAUUGAACACAUAGAGUACCCAGAAGAGUUCUCGUAAACCAUUCGACUAUAAUCGCUGUGCUUAAAUAUCUUUAUAAUUCAAAUAUGAUUCUACUGUCUAUCUCUGACAUCACUAAUUUCUCAUUAUCCCAACACUAACGGAGGCCAAUUCAGAAGAACUUCCAGUUAAUAUAUUCUUUAGAUAUCAUACUUGAAUAUUUGGUUUCAUCUAAUUCAACUUUUCUUUUAACAGUGACUUUGCAUAUUACAAAUGGCCUUCAACACGAUCCAAUAUCUUUUCUGUUACUGUCUUCACUUGCAGACUCAUUCUCUUAUCUGAUCACAAUACUAAUCCUUCAAUCCCGAGACUCUGUUAUUCCGCACUUGUAAGCUUAUUUAAGUCAUAUAGUACGGAUCUCAUUAUAAUUCUUUACCAAUGAGGGGGUGAGGGCUGUAAAGCCAACAAUUUUAACUCUUACGUAAGCAUGCACAUCACACAUACUAUUAUGAACGAACAGUUCAUUACUAAUUCCGCAUUCUCAAACAUCUAGCAAUCAUUUACUUAUGAUCACUUGGUACUUAACACAUAGCUCAUACGCUAAAUCAAAUCAUAAAUUCCAAAUCAAAAUAUUCACACAACAAUCAUAUACCCAACAUCACAACUCAUAUACUCAUAUAAUUAUAACAUUUAUCAAUAGCAGAAUAUCAUGCAUUCUGAUUCAUACCUUUUUAUGAGUUUUCAACUUAUCACCAACACAUUUUCACUCAAACGUUUGAGUAUAACAUUCUGUACUAUCAGAAUUAGCUCGGUUAGAAAGCAUAUCUGUCUUAUGAAAAACACACAGAAUAAGCUUUGAAAGCUUAGUAAGCCUUAAGCAAAUAAAUCAUUUCACUGAUUAUGAAAAUUCCAUAUCACAAAUCUGAAUUGAAAAAUAAUCUCAAUUGCAUAUACAUUCAUAGUACUUUUAAGUUCAUAUAACCUUAUUAAAUAGCUUCGCUUAUUUAUAUUUACAAAUAACUUAUGACUAUGAUUUUAAAUUCGUGUGAUAACUGUCAAUUCAUUCGUAUGAACAAAACUUGCACAUAUCCAAUACAUACCAACCAAAACAUGUCAUAUUUUUCCAUGUUUGAUUCAUGGAACCACAAGGUCACAUGUCAAGCACAUACAGCAUAUAUUUAUCUGUUAUUUAUCACGUCUCAUUUUUACAUGGACUACAUAUAUCUGACCAAGUUUAUUCAAUAUCGAUGCCAUUAUCCCGGACAAGGUCUUACACGAAUCAUAAGUGAUGCCGGUGUCCCAGACACGUUCUUAUACACUACUUCAAAUCAAUGCCUUCGUCUCGAACGAGGUCUUACAUGAUCUCAUUUCACACACUUAGUGCCCCAACAACCGAUCUUGCACACACAGUGCUCGGUUACAGAACUCGCACACACAGUGCCUCAACAACCGAUCUCGCAUACACAGUGCUUGGUUACGGAACUCGCACACACAGUGCCUCAAAAACCGAUCUCGCACACACAAUGCUCGAUUACGAAACUCGCACACACAAUGCCUCAACAACCAUCUCGCACACACAGUGCUCAGUUACGAAACUCACACAUACAGUGCCUAUGUUCACUUGUUGUUGCACAUUGAAGUGACUUAACCAAGUCUAUAAAACAUCACAUAUGUGCACUUUGAACAUAUCAUUUCAUUUAAUUUUGGAUUCAUAUAUUCAUGAACACUUAAACAUUUCAGAGCCAACUUUAAUUUAAUCAAAUCAAUAUAGAACACAAUUUCAUUCAAACAUCUGAGUACAUAUUCUAUACUAUUAAAAUUAGCUUGAUUGAAAGACUUAUCUGUCCUAUUCAAAUAAUUUUCGUCAGAGUCAGGAGAUAUCACACUAUCGCAGGUCAAAUAUGGCAUGUACAGCUAGACUCACAUACGCCAUGGUAGUCCUAGAACCGACUAAAACAUGGCUCUGAUACCAAUAAAAUGUAACACCCUUCGCCCGUAUCCCUCGCCAGAACAGGGUUCGAGGUGCUACCAGAUUUAAACUCAUCCAUUUAUAUAAAAAUAGACCGUAAAAUUUUUUGAUCAAUUUUAAACUUUUCAUACACACGUAUAUUAUCCUUUAAUCGGGCUUACAAGGCCCAAAAUAUUCAUGAAGCAUUAUUAAAUAUUUACCAAUAUCUUAGUCUUGUAUCAUUUACUUACUCAACUUUACAACCCUAUACAUGCCAUAGACUCAAAGCACUAAGAUUUACUUACGCCGAUAGCGUAGACUUGACAAUGUGAUAAUAUCUUUGACGGCCUCCAACCCGAGCUAACCUGGCAACCUUAGGGAAUAUGGGAAAGAAAAGGGGAGUAAGCUUUAUGCUUAGUAAGUUCAUAAGAAAACAAUAAGCAACUCAUUAACAAGUUUUAUCAAUGUUUACAACAUAAUCACAAAUUCACUACAAGUUAUCUUCCUGAGAAAUAGUCACUAAAUUAUUUAUAACUGGAGCUACAAAACUCCAAAUCAAUUACCGUUAAUUUUAUCUGAAAAUAGACUCAUAUAUCUUCCAUCCAUAAAAUUUUCAAAAUUUUUGGUUUGGCCAAUCGAUACCAUAUUUUUCUUAAAGUUUUUCCUGUUUCACUAUUUGACUAAUCUAACCACUCUUAACUACGAAUCAAAUUUCUCAUUGUACAGAAUUCAAAAUAUGUUAUCUUUGAUUUCAUUUUAAACUAGACUCAUCAAGGAGUCUAAGCAUAUAAAUUUUAUCUUAUAACCAUUUUUGUACAAAUUAUAAUGAUUUUCUAAAAAUACAACAGGGGACCCUGAAGUCAUUUGACUCUAUCCCACGCCACUUCAAAUAUCUCAUUAUCAGCAAUUCUUUUGCUUACACGGUUUCUUUUAUAAGAAACUAGACUCAUUAAGAUUUAAUUACAUAAUUUAUUAAGCUUCUAACUCAACUCCAACAAUUUAUGGUGAUUUUCCAAAAUCACGUUACUGCUGCUGUCCCAAGCAGAUUUAUUACAAAUUUACUCUUUCACACAUUCUUUGCAUUCACAUUAUUUAAACAUGUAUAUCACCAAUCAAUUUCAUCACAUAUCUAUAAUUUCACUUAAGUAUAAUCUCAAUACAAUACAUCAUGCUCAAUGAUUCGCACACAACUGUUCAAAUUAGCAAUUAUAAGAUGAUUCCGCACAUAGUCCACCCUUAUCGAUAAUUUACGAUGGUUUUGCCCUUACUCACAUAUAUGACAUAGGCAUUUUCACCUAUGCAUCUCAUUUCACAUUCAUGAUUCAAUUCCAAUCGAUCUAACAUGCAUAAGUAUAUAUCACAUACCUGGCCAACUUAAUGCAUUGAACAAAUUCAAUUGCCGAUUUAACACAAGGUCUCAUAAACAAUUCAUAUAAUAUAGCAUGUAUACUUGUUCACUUUGCUCUAUUUAAUCAUUCCAUCACAAUUUAUAAUUUCCCUUUGAAUCAUUCGAUAUUUUGCACACUAAGUGUCAUUCUCAAUAUCUCGCACACUAAGUGCCAUUCUCAAUAUUUCGUACACUGAGUACCAUAUUUGAUUGCCCCACACACUAAGUGCCACAUUUUGUCGAUAUGUUGUCAGACAUUAAAAUAUUCAUGUAUAUACAAUUUAUACGAUAUUAAAGCAUUAGAAACAUAAAUUUAGCAAUGCUUAUAGCAUACGAACUUACCUGGCUAAAUUGUAGAGAUACCAAAGUUCAAGGGCAUUUUGGUAAUUUUCUCAUUUUUCUCGAUUUCCACCCGAUCUUGAUCUAAAUUAAUAAUUUCAUUCAAUAUAUUAAUUUAGACAUUAAAACACCUCAUUUCAUACAAUGUGGUCAUUUUUGUCAUUUUUACAAAAUUACCCUUAAAGUUUUACUUUUAUUCAUUUUAGUCCCUGAGCUCAAAACAUGCAAAUUAACCAUUUUUAACCAUAAUUAAGCUUAGCCAAAUGUUCAUGGUAUCAAAACAGUCCAUAAUUCACUUUAUGGAAAAAUUAUAGUUUUGCCCCUAAUAUUUCAACUUCUUUACAAUUUAGUUCCUCUAUCAUAAAAAUGCAAAUUCAUGAAAUUGAGUAAAAUUCUACUAUAGACGAAUAUCACUAGUGUCUCUAGCAGCCCACACAUUUCAUUUAUUUGACAUUUUAACCAAAAAGUUUUCACAUUUAUCAAUUUAGCCCUUAAUUGUCAAUUUCACAAAAUUCACUUAACAAAAAGUGUUUAACUAUCAACAAGGACUCAUAUUCUUCCAUCAAACAUCAAAGCCCUAUUAUACUCAUUAAUGGAAAAUAUCAAACUAUUCAAUGGUUUUGCAAAAUAGUCCCCUCAUUAGAUAGAUUAAGCAACAACGAUCUCGAAAAUAUAAAAAUAAUUAAAAACGGGACUAGAAAUGCCUACCAUGCAUUAGCUGAAAGUUGGAAGCUUCUUUCAUGGCUUCUCAAGCCUUGAUAUUCGGCUGGUAAAAAGAGAAUGAAAAAGAUGACACCUUGAUUCUUUUAUUAUAUUCAUUUUAUUAUUAUUUUUAACCAAUUUACAAUAUUAACCUUUAUACACUUUAUUUAUUACACCAAAUGCCAAGCCAUCAUAUCCCAGUAUCUCUUUAAUGGGCUAAUUACCAAAUAAAGACUUCUACUUUUAAGUUCUAUAUCUAUUUAAUACCUUUAGGUUAUAGAACACAACUUUUGUACUUUACACAAUUUAGUCCUUUUUGCUUAAUUAACUAUCGAAAUGAUAAAAUUUUUCAACGAAACUUUAAUACCAUCUUAUUGCCACUACGUAAAUAUUUAUAAAAAUAUUUAUAACUCGGUUUAUAGAAACAAGGUCCCGAUACGUCAUUUUCUAAACCCACUUGACCUUAGAGUCAUACCACUUGAACUUAAUAAAUCGCUUAUAAAAGAAAAAUCACAAUAUCAAAAACAUUGUUAAAAUCACAAUUAACUUGUAAAUAUUAAAUAUAAUAUUUACCAACCUACUCGUUCGAAUUUGGUGGCCCCGAAACCACUGUUCCGAUCAACCCUAAAA
rnacentral:lncRNA from 1 species